CGGUGAAGCCCAGCUUGCUGGGUGGAUCAGUGGCGAACGGGUGAGUAACACGUGAGCAACCUGCCCUCCACUUCGGGAUAAGCCUUGGAAACGGGGUCUAAUACCGGAUAUGAGCUCGCAUCGCAUGGUGUGGGUUGGAAAGUUUUUCGGUGGGGGAUGGGCUCGCGGCCUAUCAGCUUGUUGGUGGGGUGAUGGCCUACCAAGGCGUCGACGGGUAGCCGGCCUGAGAGGGCGACCGGCCACACUGGGACUGAGACACGGCCCAGACUCCUACGGGAGGCAGCAGUGGGGAAUAUUGCACAAUGGGCGCAAGCCUGAUGCAGCGACGCCGCGUGAGGGAUGACGGCCUUCGGGUUGUAAACCUCUUUCAGCAGGGAAGAAGCGCAAGUGACGGUACCUGCAGAAGAAGCGCCGGCUAACUACGUGCCAGCAGCCGCGGUAAUACGUAGGGCGCAAGCGUUGUCCGGAAUUAUUGGGCGUAAAGAGCUCGUAGGCGGUCUGUCGCGUCUGGUGUGAAAUCCCGAGGCUCAACCUCGGGCUUGCAUCGGGUACGGGCAGACUAGAGUGCGGUAGGGGAGACUGGAAUUCCUGGUGUAGCGGUGGAAUGCGCAGAUAUCAGGAGGAACACCGAUGGCGAAGGCAGGUCUCUGGGCCGCAACUGACGCUGAGGAGCGAAAGCAUGGGGAGCGAACAGGAUUAGAUACCCUGGUAGUCCAUGCCGUAAACGUUGGGCACUAGGUGUGGGGCUCAUUCCACGAGUUCCGUGCCGCAGCUAACGCAUUAAGUGCCCCGCCUGGGGAGUACGGCCGCAAGGCUAAAACUCAAAGGAAUUGACGGGGGCCCGCACAAGCGGCGGAGCAUGCGGAUUAGUUCGAUGCAACGCGAAGAACCUUACCAAGGCUUGACAUGUACGAGAAAGCCCCCGAGACGGGGUUCUCUUUGGACACUCGUACACAGGUGGUGCAUGGUUGUCGUCAGCUCGUGUCGUGAGAUGUUGGGUUAAGUCCCGCAACGAGCGCAACCCUCGUCCUAUGUUGCCAGCGGGUUAUGCCGGGGACUCAUGGGAGACUGCCGGGGUCAACUCGGAGGAAGGUGGGGAUGACGUCAAAUCAUCAUGCCCCUUAUGUCUUGGGCUUCACGCAUGCUACAAUGGCCGGUACAGAGGGCUGCGAUACCGUAAGGUGGAGCGAAUCCCAAAAAGCCGGUCUCAGUUCGGAU
rnacentral:rRNA from 1 species